rnacentral:sRNA from 1 species
CAUACACUCAGAGUACUAGCUAUCGUAUAGUACACUUUAUUAAAAUGAAUGAAAACAAUUCCGGGCGAUGGAAUCCUAAAUAUCCUAUCAAUGGUUUUCUGGGAAAAAAAAAAAAAAAAAAAAAAAAUCUACGAGAGCACUACUAAAUUAGGCAGGCAAGGUGAGGAAAAAAUGUACUCAUUGCUCGCCGACUCCCAGUAGCCAUGAGUAUCUCAAGAAGUUUACUGCGGAAGAGGAGCCUGAGAAAAGAGGUUUUUGCGCUCGGUGCGCGGCUGCCUAAACUUGUUUGUGGCGUGUGGCUAUGAAAUAUAUGUAUGAUAUAACUAACUAUGAUAUGAAACCUCG